rnacentral:rRNA from 1 species
UACAGACCAAGUUGUUAAGAGCUAUUGGCGGAUGCCUUGGCAUUGACAGGCGAUGAAGGAUGCGUUUACCUGCAGUAAUCAUCGGCGAGCUGGUAUAAAGCUAUGACCCGGAGGUAUCCGAAUGGGGCAACCCGGUAGAUUAAUCGUCUACCAUUAUAUGCUGAAUACAUAGGCAUAUAAAGCGACACCUGCUGAACUGAAACAUCUUAGCAAGCAGAGGAAAAUAAAUCAAAGAGAUUCCCUAAGUAGCGGCGAGCGAAAGGGGAGAAGACCAAACCACAUCAUUGGUGUGGGGUUGUAGGGUCGAUAACAUGAGAUCUUAAGUUUUAGUUGAAUACUUCUGGAAAGUAGAACGAUACAGGGUGAUAGUCCCGUAAGCGAAAGAACAAGAGACUCUAUUCGAUACCUGAGUAGGGCUAGACACGUGAAACCUAGUCUGAAUCUGGGGAGACCACUCUCCAAGUCUAAAUACUAGUCAAUGACCUAUAGUGAACCAGUACUGUGAAGGAAAGGUGAAAAGAACCCUUGUUAAGGGAGUGAAAUAGAACCUGAAACCAGUAGCUUAUAAGCGGUCGGAGACCUAUAGCUUCCUCGGAAGCGAUGGUUGACGGCGUGCCUUUUGCAUGAUGAGCCAGGGAGUUAAGUUAAACGGCGAGGUUAAGGGAUUUACAUUCCGGAGCCGAAGCGAAAGCGAGUUUUAAUAGAGCGUAUAGUCGUUUGAUUUAGACACGAAACCAAGUGAGCUAUUUAUGACCAGGUUGAAGCAUGGGUAAGACCUUGUGGAGGACCGAACCAGUACAUGUUGAAAAAUGUUUGGAUGAGUUGUGAAUAGGGGUGAAAGGCCAAUCAAACUUGGAGAUAUCUUGUUCUCUCCGAAAUAACUUUAGGGUUAGCCUCGGAUAUUAAGCUUUUGGGGGUAGAGCACUGAAUUCUAGCGGGGGCCUACCGGCUUACCAACGGAAAUCAAACUCCGAAUACCAAAAGCGAGUCCGGGAGAUAGACAGCGGGGGCUAAGCUUCGUUGUCGAGAGGGGAACAGCCCAGACCGCCGAUUAAGGUCCCAAAUUUUAUGCUAAGUGAGUAAGGAAGUGAUGAUUCUAAGACAGUUGGAAUGUUGGCUUAGAGGCAGCAAUCAUUUAAAGAGUGCGUAACAGCUCACCAAUCGAGAAUCAUCGCGCCAAUAAUAAUCGGGGCUCAAGCAUAAAACCGACAUCGCGGGUGUAUAUUUUAUAUAUACGCGGUAGGAGAGCGUAGUAUUCAGCAGCGAAGGUAUACCGUAAGGGGUACUGGAGCGGAUACUAGUGAAGAUCCAUGGCAUAAGUAACGAUAAAGGAAGUGAAAAUCUUCCUCGCCGUAAGCACAAGGUUUCCAGGGUCAAGCUCGUCUUCCCUGGGUUAGUCGGCCCCUAAGUCGAGGCACAAAUGCGUAGACGAUGGAGUAACAGGUUAAAUAUUCCUGUACCACCUAAAACUUUAGCAAUGGAAUGACGGAGUACGUUAAGCACGCGGACGAUUGGAAAUGUCCGUAUCACAAUGAGACUGGUUAGUAGGUAAAUCCGCUAACAUAAGGUUAGGUUGUGGUUAAGGGAAAUCUUCGGAGGAACUGAUAGUGUAGCGCAAUGCUUUCAAGAAAUAAUUUCUAGCUGUUGAUGGUGACCGUACCUAAACCGACACAGGUGUGCGAGAUGAGUAUUCCAAGGCGCGCGAGAUAACUUUCGUUAAGGAACUCGGCAAAUUAUCCCCGUAACUUCGGAAGAAGGGGAGCCUUCUAGGGUGAUUACCUUUACGGUAUGAGCUCCGGGAGGCCGCAGAGAAAUGGCCCAGGCGACUGUUUAACAAAAACACAGCACUAUGCAAACCUCUAAGGGGAAGUAUAUGGUGUGACGCCUGCCCAAUGCCAAAAGGUUAAAGGAAUAUGUCAGCCGUAAGGCAAAGCAUUGAACCCAAGCCCUGGUGAAUGGCCGCCGUAACUAUAACGGUCCUAAGGUAGCGAAAUUC